ACUUACCUAGGCAAAGGUCUUCUACAGGCUCAAGCAGCAUGAUUUACCUCACUACUAUAGGAGGGCCAAGACUUAUGCUGCAUUUGCAAAGCUUUUUGGUCACAGCUGUUCUGCUGACGAAGGCAUUAUUUGCACUGAUGUGGUAAGAGUGGGAUGCAGUAAGAUUUGGUUCACAGAAAUUCCAGCAAUCAGUCCUCACUGUGACACCAUGUAUUAUGUAGACUUACUGCAAUAGAAACACUCCCACCCUAAUCAGCCUUGCAAUUCUGGGAACAGAGCUGACUUGCACUUCUCUUUGAAACAGCAGCACGACUGCUUCCACCUGCAAGCAGAUAUCCAGUAAUUUAGCUAGCUGACACACUGACAUGUCUGUGCAUACAUGAAACAAGCCCAGGGAGGCUGGCCCAAGCAGAGGUACCUUAAACUGGUGACAUCUCUUAAUCUGUUAAAGACCCUCACAUCAAUACCAAACUCUUGGUUUAACUGCUGGACUUUCUCUAAACUGAAGUGGUAGCAUCCUUUCUGUGUCUCUGAGAAGAUUACUUCCAUGAAUGCAGAUGCAUAUGGAAUACCAGUGUUUCAGCUUUGCUAUUCUUGAUAGAGAAGGAAACCGUAUAUCUUUACUUGCUCUACACUA